AUUGAACGCUGGCGGCAGGCCUAACACAUGCAAGUCGAGCGAGCGGCGGACGGGUGAGUAAUGUCUGGGAAACUGCCUGAUGGAGGGGGAUAACUACUGGAAACGGUAGCUAAUACCGCAUACCAUCAGAUUUGCCAAGAUGGGGUUAGCUGGUAGGGGGGGUAACGGCUCAACUAGGCGACGAUCCCUAGCUGGUCUGAGAGGAUGACCAGCCACACUGGAACUGAGACACGUGCCAGACUCCUACGGGAGGCAGCAGUGGGGAAUAUUGCACAAUGGGCGCAAGCCUGAUGCAGCCAUGCCGCGUGUGUGAAGAAGGCCGUCGGGUUGUAAAGCACUUUCAGCGGGGAGGCGUUACCCGCAGAAGAAGCACCGGCUAACUCCGUGCCAGCAGCCGCGGUAAUUC
rnacentral:rRNA from 1 species